rnacentral:rRNA from 1 species
AGCAGCCGCGGUAAUUCCAGCUCCAAUAGCGUAUAUUAAAGUUGUUGCAGUUAAAAAGCUCGUAGUUGAAUUUCGGGAUCAAUUUAUUGGUCGUGCUAUUGUACGUACUGGUAUUAUUGAUUCCUACCUUCUGACGAACCAUGAUGUCAUUAAUUUGGUGUUAUGGGGAAUCAGGACUGUUACUUUGAAAAAAUUAGAGUGUUUAAAGCAGGCUCACGCUUGAAUACAUUAGCAUGGAAUAACGAAAUAGGACGUUUGAUUCUAUUUUGUUGGUUUCUAGGAUCGACGUAAUGAUUAAUAGGGAUAGUUGGGGGCAUUAGUAUUCAAUUGUCAGAGGUGAAAAUUCUUGGAUUUAUUGAAGACUAACUACUGCGAAAGCAUUUGCCAAGGAUGUUUUCAUUAAUCAAGAACGAAAGUUAGGGGAUCGAAGACGAUCAGAUACCGUCGUAGUCUUAACCAUAAACUAUGCCGACUAGGGAUCGGAUGAUGUUAAAUUUUUUAAUGACUCAUUCGGCGUACC